GUGUUUUUGCGGUUUUUUUUGGCCAUGACUACAGCAGGAAGAUGUUCCCGGGCCAGGGAUCGAACCCAUGCCACAGCAGCAACCUGAGCCACAGCAGUGACAAUGCUGGAUCCUUAACCCUCUAAGCCACCAGGGAAUUCCAGGGAGGCAUCUUUAAAGGCCAGAUGAGGAGGGGUGUCCCAGGGUAUGUGAUCAGCUCGUGCACAAUUCUCUGAAUGGUUGAUGAUGAAGUAAGCAGUUAACAUGAUCAGUCCUUAGGGCCAGUAGGUCAGGAGGCUACAGGAUCACUGAGUAGUUAAUGUCUUCCAUUUGGUGGUGGUUUUGGAAUUUUGUAAAAUAACUCAGGGGAUGUGCAUCAGAUACUGUUAUCUGGGUACUUAAGAGAAGAGUUACAGCAGAGGACCUGGGGGAAGGGUCUGUCCUGGGGAGGCCCCCUAGGAUUCUGCUAAGUUACACUGAUAAAGACGAAGAGACAUGAGGAUGCUCCUGUUCUUCUGAUGUGACUGUGAAUCUGGCACUAAAAUUAAAGUUUUAUUAAAAUCUUAAAAUUCAAUUACAAUUUAGAGGCCACCUCCCCCAAGAUUUCAAAAUAAUCUCAUUUCCAAGAGUGGAAUACCAAAAGCUGCACCACAAACAGUAGUGCUAUAAAUAAGGCUGUUGACUCAUCACUGUGGUGGGAGAAAAAUAAGUUAAAAACACCCCACUUGUCCUACAAGAAGAGGUGGAUGGGUAAAGUAAGUAUGUCUGUGUUAUAAAAUAUUGAGCAGCUAAGAAUUCCCUGUUGUAUAUCUACUGAUCUAAAGGAAUACCCCUGAUGUAUUUUAUGUGAGAAAUGCACGUUGCAAAAAAUAUAUAUAUAGAGAGAAUGAUCUCAUUUUUCUUACCAAAGGAAAAUAACAGCAAAAGCCCUACAUCUAUGCAUUUAUGUUUCUGUAUGGAGGAAAAUGUGGAAGGAGACCCAGGGGAUGGAUGCAUAUAAAUGAGUGCGAGAUGAAGUCAGAAAAAUAAAAUGGUGAAAGAAAAAAGAAAAGACAUGGAAGGAGAAGGAAAUAAUCCAAUGAACGUUUCCAUUCACUGUGUUAUACAGCAGGAGAAUGGAGGUCCAGAAAUAGGGCACGAUUGCACUGGGUCACAUGGAAGAAAAGGGCUAAGAAGGCAGAGCUAAGAAGAGUGAUGGACCCUGCAUUCUGAGGGCAGGAAGCCUGAAAGUGGGAACACUCGGCAUGCCUGGCAAAGCUUAGGAGAGACUCUGGGGUGGGUGGGCUGCCUCUCAAGGAAUUCAGCCACACCUGUAUUCUGCAACAGGUGCAGAUAGAGCACCGCUAUCCUCAGUAAUGUCCAAACUACAAUCCUUCAUGUACUCAGCUCGCCUGUAUUUUGUUGCCACCAAGACAAACAGGCCCAAAAUGGAGUCACUUGUGCUAAGACCCCAGUGACCAAAUCAUGACUUUAUUUCAUUAUAGUUUUGUCUCUAAGAAAAAAGGAACCUUAAAGUAGUCACUCAGAACUUGCUUGGAUGAGCACUAGGUAGGUAAUCUACCCAACAGGCCCCUGCCAUUCCCUAAAGAAAGUAACAUGGCCAUAAUCAACCAGCCUUUUUCCAGCAUGUAACAGUUAAUGAAAGGGGUUCUGGCUGCUCAUCGUUCUAAAGCCAACAAAAGGGGAAGGUUGGUCAAAAAGAAGGUUGGUUUUAUUUUGGAGCCUGCCAACCAGGGUGGGAGGCAGACUUCUGUCUAAAGGCUGACGGGUUCCCCGACCCCUGCACAGACAAUCAGUGGGCAAGAGCAUUUAUAGGUGGGUGCUACAUGCAGAAAUAGCGUAGUCAGCUCUGACAGUCAUUUCAAAGUGGGUUACAUGGUAGUUGGAGCAGCAUCACCUUCUUUUAGGUACAGUUCAUCUUCAGUUCCAGGGUUGGUUUCUUCCCACUUCCUUGAGGCCAGUUCUUGGAAUUGUGGCAGCUUAUGUCCUGGUCAUCACGUAGUGGGGGUUUCAGUAUCUACAAGACAGCUCGCAGGACGUGGUUCCGAACACGAUCUAUAGCCCCUAAGGAGGAACUGAAAGUACUUGACUUUGCUUAGUGACUUUAUUAUUAGUUGGUCUCAUUUGACUGUUUUCCUUUUCUUCUGCAUUUUCUUGCUUCUCUGAUUAAACUUAUUCUUUGGUGAAAGUUUUUUCUCCAGAAAAAUAAAAGGACAUGGGAGGAAGGACCACAGGGUCUUGCUUCAUUUCAUAGCUUCCUUGUUCCCACUCCCUUCUGCUUAUAAAAAUUUUUCUUUUUGUACAGAUCCUUGGAGGUGCUUUCUAUCUGCCAGACUGGAUGCUGCCUGAUUCAAACUGAUUUUUGCUCAAAUAAGCUCUUAACAUUUUUAAUAUGCUCCAGUUUGUCUUUUAACAGUUUAUAUUAUUAUUUUCAGAGUGCAGUCUGGAACUCCUCUAUCAGAGUCAUCUGCAGGUACUGAACACAAUUGCAGAUUUCAGGAACAUACCUAGACCUCCUAAAUCAUUCUCUGGGUGUUGACAGUUCAGGAAUCAGCAUUUAAAACUAGCUCCCCAAAGGAUUCUAUAGUUUACUCCAUUCUGAAACCUGUCAAACUGAACUGACAAAUAUUUUUCACAGAAAUGGUGUGUUACUUCUUUAAAGUCUCUGUAAUAAUACCUUAAACGGACUUUUAUUCAUUUAAAGUGGAGCUCACCAGAGAACUGGGUUUCAAUCUGGCAGGGUAAAGAGGCAUUGGUGAUGGGGGAAUUGUUAUCCCUUUGGGGAUAUGUAAAUAUGGACUUCGCUAUUCUAAGAAUUACGGUAAAAUCCCCUCUGGCUGGUGACUGGCUUUCUCUCCCUAUUCUGUGGGUUCUUACCUUCUAAUUGAUAGAACUCAGCUCUGUUGAAGGAUUCAGUAAAUGGUUAAAGUUGCCAAACUUGGUAGAAAUUGUUUCUCCCAGAGGAAAGGAAGACUGAGAAGUUAAGUCCUGAGUCCCCGAACAUACAGCCAGUCUGCCAGGAAGAGGAACAUAAAAUACGUCUCCCAGGAUGUACAUCUUCCAUCCUGUCUUUCCUACAGUCCUUUAGAUGAGGCUGAGGAGGGAGCAGUGAAACGAUGCUGAAGCUUUGUGCUGUUUUUCUCACGGAGCAUGGAGAAUGGAGUGUGGGGUGAGAAGGAGGCUGCUAGCCCUUUUCUUCCAACUUCUUUCUUCAAUGGGCCAGAAAACCCUAACCCACUCCCCCCCUCCUCACCUAAGCGCUGUGAAUAAGCAAGGUUACAAAGGAAUCCUUAAGGUGCACAGCAGGGUCUAAAAGGAAGACCCGUCUGGUUUCCUGUUCCCGUAGGCACAGGACCCUGAACUUGAGCUUCCUCAGCUCCCUGUCUUUGAGCCAGGGAGGUGGGCAUGCAGAGAAGCAUACUCUUCAUUAAAAAAGGAGACAUUAUUAACCUGAACAUUUCUUGGCAGCUGUUCCAACAGACUGCUUGUUAUCACAGCGAGCUUUUUUUUAAAGACCCACAAUGAUACACAAUAUGUCACAACAGCUGCCAAAAUUUCUCUGACGCAGUGACUUUCUGUGCACAGUGGUUUUUUUCAGCAAGGAUUUUUCUUAGAAUCUUCCUUGGGGCCCUUCAUUUCCUGUUGGUGGAAGGCAACUUUAAAGGAGGGACCCUGAACAUAAACAUGACUGGCCAUGGCUGCUGUAUUUCUACAUAGUUCAGCCCAGAAGUCAGGAGGCUUGACGCUCAUGUCAGCUCCGAUCACAGAGAGACCUGGGCCAGUGAUCAGGAGCUCCUCCUGAGACCUGAUCUUUGUAAUAGGGAAGAACAAAUCUGACUCCAUAGUGGAUUCGCUUCAUUUCUUUUACUUGAACCUUUGUACCCUAUUGCUUUUG
rnacentral:lncRNA from 1 species